rnacentral:pre_miRNA from 1 species
AUCAUACUCCCUCCGUCCGAAAAUACUUGUCAUCAAAAUGGAUGAAAAAGGAUGUAUCUAGAACUAAAAUACAUCUAGAUACAUCUCCUUUUAUCUAUUUUGAUGACAAGUAUUUCCGGACGGAGGGAGUAUAUA